CGGUUUCCGGGUUUAGAACGACCGUACGGAAAACCAAAGGCCGGGGGACCGCAAGGCCUGGCGCUCAAGGAGGAGCCCGCGUCUGAUUAGCUAGUUGGCGGGGUAAUGGCCCACCAAGGCGACGAUCAGUAGCCGGCCUGAGAGGGCGGACGGCCACACUGGGACUGAGACACGGCCCAGACUCCUACGGGAGGCAGCAGUGGGGAAUUGUUCGCAAUGGGCGCAAGCCUGACGACGCAACGCCGCGUGGAGGAUGAAGGUCUUCGGAUUGUAAACUCCUGUUGAUCGGGACGAAAAGCUUCGACCUAACACGUCGGAGACUGACGGUACCGGUUGAGGAAGCCACGGCUAACUCUGUG
rnacentral:rRNA from 1 species